UACGUAGGGGGCUAGCGUUGUCCGGAAUCAUUGGGCGUAAAGAGCGUGUAGGCGGCCCGGUAAGUCCGCUGUGAAAGUCCAGGGCUCAACCCUGGGAUGCCGGUGGAUACUGUCGGGCUCGAGUCCGGAAGAGGAGUGUGGAAUUCCUGGUGUGAGCGGUGAAAUGCGCAGAUAUCUGGAGGAACACCGGUGGCGAAGGCGGCAUCCUGGACCAACACUGACACUGAGGAGCGAAGCCAGGGA
rnacentral:rRNA from 1 species